AUGACAUAACAAAACAAUUACAAAUGGUCUGUACACAAGUUCCAUUUAAUUGACCUGUAGCCCUUUUCAGUGGCGGAUCCAGAAAAUUUCAUAAGUGGGGGCUCACUGAUUGACCUGAGAGGAGGCCCGCUCCAGUCACGCUUCAAUGAUUCCUAAAAAGGGGGAGCACAGCCCCCAUGCCCCCCCUAAAUCUUCCUCAAAAAUCUUAGGAGUAAAAUGUAUCUUUAGUCUAAAAUAUUCCUUAACUGUUCAACUAAAUAUUUUUAUUGUAAGAUUAAUUUUACACUUAAGAUUUUUUGUGAAAAGGGCUACAAGUCUUUAUUUGUUUGUACGAAACAUUAAAGAUAUUUACAUGUACAGAGGUUUAAUAAACAUGAAGUUAUUGUAUUAUUACUUGCUAAAAUGUUGCAAACUUCAGUUAAUCUAGUGUUACUGUGAAUUGAAAUGAAUAACACUUAUUAUGGAAUAUUAAAAGUACAAUGUCAUAUACAGUUGAUUUACAAUGUAUGAUUGUUGUUAUUACAGUGUAUUAAGAAAGACUUACAUAAAAGUUAAUACCUAGAUUUAUAUGUAUGAAGAAUGUGUAUUCAUAUAAAAGAACACAUGUACAAUUAGUGCUAUUAUUAAGGUAUGACACUAGUUGUAUUGUGCACAGUGCAUUAUAUUUUUAAGAAACCUCAAACACAAGUAUAUGUUUAUUAGAGUUUAUUUUUUGUAUAAGAUUUUUUUUUUUUUUAAUUUGUUAAGAAUAUUUUUGUCAAUUUUAUGGAAAACCUGAUGACAUAAUUUUCCUAUCAGUUAACAGAUUAUCUAUGGUCAUGAUGGUCUUACAAACUUUUGCCUCUGAUUGCUAUUUGAAGCUGAAAAGACCCACUCAUUUUCUCAAAUUUGGAUACUCUAUAACCACCAGUAGAAUUUCAAUAGACAGAAAAGUUUUAUGAAAUAGCACUAGCCACAGACAAAUUCCUGGCAAUAAAUGUUGACUCAGUAAACAAUUUGAACUUGAAGCACCAAAUCCAGUGUUUGAUUGGUUGUUUCUCAGUUUUAGUACAAUAAUUAUACUAGAAAGAAUUUUUGACCACAAAGUUAGAUUUAAGGACAGAUUUAUAAAUAUUGGGUUUUUGAUUAAAGUUCUAGUUUGUUAUUAUAGGAGUUUGCUUGUAAGAGCUUUAUAAAAAUUAUCUUGACUUAGUGUGAUUGCUUUAAAUAAGAGAUGUAGUUUGUAAAAGAUUUACCCUUCAUAUGAAAUCAUUUGUAUUUUCCAUGAUAUGAACUUUUUUUUAUGUCAGUCUGAGGAGCUAUAUAAAAUUUUAGCAUUUGCUAGAAGAUGCCUGUUGUUUUGUAUGAAAAUGUAAUCAAAGCACAACAUACAUGAUGAAAUUGUUCUUAUUUUGAAAUGAAAUAAUGUGGUAAUGAUAUUUUGAAAAAUCAAAUAAGUGUUAAACAUAGUUAAAUCUAUCUGUAUGCUGUAAGUUUUUAGGUAUUUUCACAUAUAAAUUUUAAGUUAACAAUUUCCAUUAACUUACAAGUGUAUAACUUUUUCUGAUUCAUGUAUAACUAACAACUAAUUGAUAUAUAGAACAUGUAGAACAUUCCAGUUACUUGUACUAACUCAGUACAAAUGAAUAGGUCCAUUGUAUAGUUAGUAAACAGUUUUGGAGUAGUGUAUAUGUAAAACAGAUUCAUAUAAGUAGAGUACAUCAAAGUUCACAAAGUAAGUGUAUUUCAAUCCAAAAGUCAGAAAGAAAGUGUUUGAUAAAUCAAAAGUUUCUUUUUACAGCACAUGUACAAAUGAUCAGAUUUUUUGAUUCAGAUACAUGUAAUAUUUUUUUAUUCAGAUACAUUUUCUACAUGUAAUAAUAUUGAAUUAUUAAUAUUUUUUAGUUCAUCCUCCUGAACCUUGAAGCAAGCAACAAAUAAUCAAUCAAGAUUUUUAAUGUAAGCAGAAAAUUGUCAAUUUUUUUUACCUGGUGACAUUUUUAUCAUUCCUUAAAUGCACAAAGUGAGAAUGAAGGCCAAUGGUAGUUAGCUAGAGAAGAAAUGUGAAUCUUCUAAUGAUAUUUUCUUUUAUUAUUUUUGUUUUUGAUGCUUCAUUAGUACCUUCCCUAUUACAUUCAUUCAAUUUGUUAUGGGAUGUUUGCGUAUGAUGUCAAACUUUCCCCAAAGUGAUAUGUAUAUCCAUGCAGAAUAAAUAUCUUAUAAAACCAA
rnacentral:lncRNA from 1 species